CAACCCUCAAGCCUGGCUUGGUGUUGGGGCUCUGCGUCUGCAGUCCCUUAAAUCCAGUGGCGGACACGCUAGGUCUCCGAGCGCAGUAGUUUCUUCUCGCUCAGGGCGUCCGGCGUGGGCUUGCCUCGCACCCAUCUUAUCAA
rnacentral:misc_RNA from 1 species